rnacentral:rRNA from 1 species
UACGUAGGGGGCUAGCGUUGUCCGGAAUCAUUGGGCGUAAAGCGCGCGUAGGCGGCCCCGUAAGUCCGCUGUGAAAGUCAAAGGCUCAACCUUUGAAAGCCGGUGGAUACUGUGGGGCUAGAGUCCGGAAGAGGCGAGUGGAAUUCCUGGUGUAGCGGUGAAAUGCGCAGAUAUCGGGAAGAACACCCGUGGCGAAGGCGGCUCUCUGGGACGGUACUGACGCUGAGACGCGAAAGCGUGGGGAGCGAACAGG